UACGUAUGGAGCAAGCGUUAUCCGGAUUUACUGGGUGUAAAGGGAGCGCAGGCGGCUUUGCAAGUCUGAUGUGAAAGGCCGGGGCUCAACCUGUGGCCUGCAUUUGAAACUGUGUUUCUUGAGUACUGGAGAGGCAGACGGAAUUCCUAGUGUAGCGGUGAAAUGCGUAGAUAUUAGGAGGAACACCAGUGGCGAAGGCGGUCUGCUGGACAGCAACUGACGCUGAGGCGCGAAAGCGUGGGGAGCAAACAGG
rnacentral:rRNA from 1 species